CUUGAAGUGUAGUUUCAGCAUGACUCUCAAUGUGAGAGGGGAGGUAGUCUGAGUGACCCCUUGAAGUGUAGUUUCAGCAUGACUCUCAAUGUGAGAGGCGAGGUAGUCUGAGUGACCCCUUGAAGUGUAGUUUCAGCAUGACUCUCAAUGUGAGAGGGGAGGUAGUCUGAGUGACCCCUUGAAGUGUAGUUUCAGCAUGACUCUCAAUGUGAGAGGCGAGGUAGUCUGAGUGACCCCUUGAAGUGUAGUUUCAGCAUGACUCUGAAUGUGAGAGGCGAGGUAGUCUGAGUGACCCCUUGAAGUGUAGUUUCAGCAUGACUCUCAAUGUGAGAGGGGAGGUAGUCUGAGUGACCCCUUGAAGUGUAGUGUCACAUCGUUCCACUUUUAACCAAUGUUUAACUGGC
ensembl:lncRNA